ensembl:lncRNA
GUGGGAAUGUGGGGGACGUUUUUUCAGCACACGCAGCAUCCAAGAUGGCGUUUGACUGGGAAGCAUGCAAUACACGUCAUCUUCACGGCUGUUGGUUUCACCGGAACAAAACGAAAGAGGCAGAACUUUUCCCCACAAGCUCCGGCUAUUAUACUGCAGUUGUAUUACUAGUAAUGCUAGUGUUCCCUCAACCACAUACAACAGGACUAUUCACUCCGCCGUCUGACUGCAUUAAGUCAAGCUGAUCAUCCGUGGAGCGGAACGCAGUGACGACAAAGGCAGUAACCAUAAGUGUGUGUUUGUGCGUGUGCUUGUGCGUGUGGGCGCAUGCAUGUGAGUGUGCGUCUGUGCACGUGUGUGUAUGUGCGUGUGUAUGUAUGCCGGUAAGUGUAUGUUUGUGUGUGCGUGUGAAUGCCUGUGGGUGCAAUCGUGUUUGUGUCGGUGUGUGUGUAUGGGGGGGGAGGUUGUGUAUCUGUGAGUACACAUGCGCCUAAGCGUGAAUGCAUUAGCACCCGUACAUGAUCAUCUUAUCUUUGAUGGAAUUUUUAAAAGGAAGUGACUUGCAGUCAGGGCUACUUUUUAUAUAUUUAGGCAAUCUAGAGCUGGUCUCCCUGGUAGCCUAUGCCAGACUUGUUGCGUUUCUAUGUCGUCUGUCAUGUUUUUUAUAUACCAAACAAACUACAACAACCAAACACAAACACAAAAUAGUCAAUUCUGUGGAUCAAGCUUUGUUUUUGUCAAGACAAUAGACUGGUGAGGGAGGAUUUGAAGCGGUAAGAAUGUAUCAGGCUUAGAAAUCAACUUUUCAAAUGUGUAGCCCAGAAAAAAUGAUUUUCCCUCCUCUUGAUGCCCUGGCCAGCAUAAAUUAUUGUUCCUGUAUUUUUAUUAUUUAAUUAUCAAAAACAUUUAAGUAUUCUACUGGCGUUUGAAGUAAAUAUCUAUGCUGUUUAUUUUCUGCUAUGAUUUGCAUGUGAGUACAACUUUAUUGUGGGAAUGGUAAAAUUAAUCCAAUGGUAGCUGCCACGUCUGGAUGCUAAAAAAACAGCAUCUCUUGUUAGGAGCAUUGCAUCGUGAGCCUGUGGAACUUGUACGAGGAAUGUAUUAUCCCUUUAUCUGUAGGGGUCGGAGAGAAAACCUCACACCUACAUAACAUAUGUUUUGUGUUGAUAUUCUGUUUGACAUGUCAUCUGUUUUGUAUCAGAACAAGGAGUGGCUGACAAUAGUUUCUUCUUCUUACUUUUCCAACUCUAGUUGAUCAUACAUUUUGAAAGCCCUCUGCAGUCUCCUAGUAACCGUUGCUAGGCAGAAACCGCUUUCGGCAGAUGAGAAUCACAUUUUAGCAGCCGGGAUUUGAUCGUUUUCACUGGAUUCGCUUUUUCUAUCAUUUGUCUUUGUACUUUGUUGCCCAAAAAUAUUUAUUUAAUGAGUUGCAUUUCAUUUCAGGAUUUUUUCAUGAGACACUGAGCCACGUUUCUGAUUAAUGAUUAUAUGAUGUUGGGCUUAACUUUAUUCUGAUCUUAUUUUUGCUUGCAAAAUGUUGGCCUUUUCAUUUUGAUUUCCUCUUUAAUUAACAGCUCUGCCAAUGUAAACCAUACAAAAAUGUUCUACAGCGUUUCCCCUGGAGUGAGACCUACCAAAACAGCAUGUUCUCUUUGUGCUUGUAUUGAGGCAGAGCAAGUCUGUUAAAAUGUUAGCAAGCCAUACAUAUGAAAAGAUCAGUUGAUGAUAUCUUUUGACCAUUAAAGACUAUAAACUGAGCGAGAGGCGCUGACUAAAAGAAAAACUUAAUCCACACGGUAUACAGAAGCAAGCUAUUCUGGAUGUUAUUAUCUGUGUAUGGUGACAUAAAAAAAGAAAAUGUGCAUUGAAAAGAAUAUAAGCCAACAGUAUUGUCUUUGGUGCUGCCAUCCAUCAUAACUACCGUUCAACAUCUGUCUUCCUCAAACAUGGCGGUUAUAUGCUUGUGCAUGUUGAUGUGUAGUCUAGCCAAGGCAUGGCCAAUCCUUCUGGUUUCUCUCUAACGGUCAGACGUUUGUUUCGUUGUUUUAAAAGAUCUGUCCGUGGAAACCAGCUAUGCCCAUUCUACCUGUAAAUCUACACACACUACAGCAAAUAACUGAUGCUAGACUAGACUAAACACAGGGAAGAUGAAAAGCUUGCUUAUUGAGAAGUAUUUCUUCAAAGACAUGUUUAGGUUCAGUUAAGAUUAAUGUAUGGCAAAAAAAACGACACUGUUACAAAUUUGAAACAUGAUCCGACAAUUAAAGAUAGGGCAGGCAAUUUGUAUAAAACAGCCAGAGUAACCCAAUAAAUCCACAACUCUCCCUUCUGGAGCCCCACCAAAGCCACUCCCUCAACACAUGGGAGUAGCUCUCUAGCUUUUGCAACAGGUCUGCCCAGCCUUGUUGAAGACUCCCGGUCCAGUGCAUUGAGUACACGAGCGUAGCCGGGUAGGUAGGUCAACAGACUGGUCGGGGGACCAAUUAUUUCAUUGGGCCCAAAGAAACGAUCAAACAGGCAUAAUACAGGCCUGCGGCAGCCACAGUUACAGAUCUUUUUUUGGUCAGAGCAUUUGGCUUUUUUGAUUGAUGUCGGGAUGUAAAGGGAAUUUCAACAAAUAUGACAAAAAAGUGCUUCUAAAAUAAAUUGCCUACACUAGUUUUAGCACCGCAGCAUGUCCAUUUUUACUUUGCUCACUGCUAACAGGGACCCUUCACUGCGACUGCUUAGCUUUGGUGUUAAGCAGAAUGCUCAUGGUGCUAAAUGGACCACCUUUUCUUAAUUAUUUGAAUACAAUUUCACUUUUGACAGUGACUUUUUUAUUUCAGUGUCGGUUUGGUUUUCUUCAUAAAACCCUAUUGGGCAAUGCUGGUAAAAAAAAAAAAAAGAGUAUAUCUGUUAUAUGACAGGAUCUAUAGUAUAAUGGCAACUGCAUGGCUCUAAUAACUGCUAGCAAUAAGAAUAUUGUUGAAUUAAAUAUAAAUUAGGAAUAAUCAUGUAUAUAAUGAUGAUGUUUUUGCUGAGCCUUAUUGUCUUCCAGACUUGAAAUGCGUAGGAGUGAUUCGUUGGAUAAGCAAGCAUUCUUUUUUUCUUUUUUUUCAAUUCAACCAUUAAAAGUAAAAGCAGCAGCAUAAUUUGCCAUAAAUUCUCUAUUCAGUUUCAAUAUCAAAUGUUUGCCAAAUGUCAUCAUUGAAUGUGAUGCUUCUAACAUAAUCACUUGAGUGCUUCAGAGAUGGGCAUAUGUAUUUAAGAUGUCACACUCAUGAAAAGACCAGAUAUCAAGAGCACUGUUUGAAAAGGCAUGCUUCCAUGACAAUCCCACGAGUCCAUCCAAGCACAUUCAUGCAAGUUGCACACGCAUAUACACACAGUACGCGACCAAACCACUUGGGUUUUCUUUUGCCAUAUGAUACCAUUCUCUGUAAUGUAGCAUUGUAUAUGUACUUGUGCGCCUGUACCUUGUAAGACCUAACCAGAGAUUUAAAAAAAAACGUAUUUUGAUGUGCAUAUAUGAAAUAUUUAUUUAAAUAUAAUAAUGUAAUGUAUAUGUUUGUGUAUAGUUCUAGUGAUAUGGACUCCUGGGUCUUAAACCAUGCGGGCAGUGGUUUAGGACAACAAUAACAGAAAUGUAUUCAAGAUGGUUAUGAUCCAUAAGAGGCUAUGCAAAAGCUGAAAAGUAGAGAUGGAAUGAAGAGUAAAACACAUACAAUCUACGAA